rnacentral:lncRNA from 1 species
UCCCUCCUGCUGAACUCUUCCUACCCGGGCUCUGAACACAUCCCUGAGCUGCAGAGCUGACGUCUGGGUGACAGUGAAACGGGGUAUUCAUUUGUACCAAAACAAACAAACAAACAAACAAAACCUGGAAUGACGGUGUGUGGAUUUCUUGUGUGCUUAUUCGUAGGAUUGAGAAAGGGUGAGGCUAAGGUCCCGAGCCUUCGUGAAGCAAUGGAGAAAGUGCCGUCCCAAGGCUCAGUUCCACACGGCGCUGUGAGGCUGAAGGGGCUCACUGGAAGUUCCCCUCACAGGACGCCACCUCACCUGAAACCCUCUUUUUCUGCUACCAUCCAAGGGACAAGAUCUCCUGAGUUGUCGAAGACUCACUCCGGAAGAAAACCCUCUCAGGCAGUUACUGAGGGACUGUGGUCUGGACUAGAACGUGUUUUUCUCAGUGACACCUCUAGAGGGCAGCACUCAACGGAGUCCCACAGACACCUCCCUGCAUUUCCUCCUCAGACACUGGGUGGAUGAUAUGGUAACACUGGGGAAUGCUUGGGUGUUCUCCUGGAAGCUCCUUAUUUUAAUCACCUGUUUACUUGUCUCCAUUCUUAUAGAUAUGUAGGCUACCCGAGGGCAGAGACUGAGUCUGUCUUGUUCACUGUCUACCUCCAGAACCUCACACAGAAUCUGGCACUUAGUAGGUGCACAACAAAAUAAUCAUUGAAUUAGUAUACUGAGUCUUUAACAGAGUCUCUUUCUGUUUAUUGAGUUGACACGAUGUAUCCAAAAGCAGCUGAAUGCACAACUCAAACUGUCAUCCAAGCACACAAAGAAGGCAUUGAUAAAAGCUAUGCUGGUUGUAAGUGGAGAAGAGACUAGAGCAAAGUGAAGCUGCAGGUAGGAAGCCUGUGUCUGUCUGCUCCCUCAACCACCUCUGCCAACUGUGGGGAAGCUCAUUCUAACAGGAGAGCUCAAAUUGCAGAAGCCCAGGUGUCCGAGGGGAGAUUAACACUAUAGGCCCAGUAUGUGGGUGGAGCUAGAAAGCACUCCUCAUCUAAGAACUCUGGCACAAUGACACACCACGGAAAAAUGAUUUUGCAUAUAGUAGUUACUUAUAUGUAAUUCAAAUAUACCAUCUGUAUCUUGGCAGCCCAGGCCUGAGUGGCACUGAGGGAACUGAGGGAAUGUUCAUGACGGUGGCCCCCACAGAGCCUUAAGGAGCAGAGUGAGGAUGAGCCAGGAGCACAUGCACUGUAAGGGACAACAGGGUGGCCUGAGAGCAGAGGGUGGGUCUGUUUGCUCUUCAAUAUUUCCUCACCUCCUAGAAAACUGAGGAAUCCACAGCAGACAGAAUCAUUGUUUUGAAAAUACAGGAGAAAGAACGCUUUUAUCUGAAACAAAAUGACUGUCCAGGAAAAGAAGAAAAUGUCUUUAUGCCAUUACCCAGAAUGGUAACUCUUCUCCUGUGCAUACCUGAAAAUGUCAGGAGCGCAUUUCUACAUUGACAUUUUAAUAGAUUGUAUGACAAAUGUUACAGGAUAAUUCUUGGUAAAAGUCAAACCAUAUAACCUACAUU